UAAAUUAUGCACCAAAAAAAAUUCUAUAAAUAUCCUUUUUUAUUUUUUCUUUUUAACUUUCAAAAAUCUAUAUUUAUUCCUUCAAAAAAUUUUAAAAAUCUAUAUUUCUUCUAAACUUCAAAUAUUACUCAUGUGGUUUCGCACUUUCUCACUUUAGUAUUCUGUGGUUUAAAGUGUAUUAAUUUAGUACUAUGCGGUUUCGUUUCUCUCUUUUUUUCAGUCCCUUCAUUAACUUUUCGUUAAAUCAUAUACAAAAAAUUUCAGAUAUCCUACCUAUAAUUUAUCAAAUAUUCACUUUAGUACCCUUUAGUUUUAAAUUUAUCAUUGAUUUAACGAAAAAAAAUUAGUGAAGGGGAUAACAAAAAGAAAAAAAUAAAAUUACAGGAUACGAAAAUGAUACAUUUUAAACCAUAGGGUGCUAAAGUGAGAAAGUACGAAACCACAAGGGUGGUAUCUGAAGUUUUCUGAAAAGAAAUAUUGGGUAAUAUCAAAUACACCCGUCAAAACACCUUUCAGAACUUUAAAAACAUCUAAUACACCCUUAUGGGGCCAAAAUGUUUUUAUUGAUUUCCAAAAAUUUUUUAAAAUAUAUCCCUAAA
rnacentral:lncRNA from 1 species